UUCACUAUACCAACUCUGGUCUUAAGGAGCCUGCAUUGCCAAAGGAGUUAGGCUUUGAAAGGGAAUCAGCAGAGGGAUGUCUCAGAGUUAAGGACCUGGGGAGAUCGUUUUGUCAUCUUUUGUUUGUUUCUAAAAUCAAAACUGGAAAGUGUUAAAAUUUGUGGCAUGAACUGGACAGAUGGCUGAUGGGUAAUCACUGUACUCAUAUGACUGGACUAAUGAAUCAUGUGCUAUAAAAGCCAAGAGGCUGUGAUACUCAUCACAUUCUUGGGGUGACUGCAAUCAUUUUGUGGGUUACAAAAGAGUCCUUCCCAUUCUAAUGGUCUUGGCAUUGAAGCAUUAAAGAGAACGACACAAAGGUCUGAACACCUGACUAUAUUUGCAUCUUUUCCUUGCCAUAUGUGUGGAAUGAUUUCACCAUUAACAUCUUUGCAACUUACAGGUGAAUUAGCAAGUUCAUUGUGGCCAUACUCCUCCCUGCAUUGAUUAAUGGCAGAAGAGAGACUGCUUCCAGAGUCUCUGGUUUUCUUUCUACGGAUCUGUAGCUCUGUUGUAGGGAUGAUGUCAGGAGCUCUGUGGUCCUGUGGAAAUUGGACUGCUGCUCCCAGCUCUGUACCAAGGAUGAAGUGGGGACAUUAUACAUCAGCAAAGUACCAGGUGUUUGUUUCCCAAGUGGGAGAUCAGGCUAAUGCCCACCGUUCUGACACCCAGAGUCCUCUUUAUAGCCACUGUCAAGGGAACUGUGUGGAUUUCACCUUCCUAAUUUGAAAACCUGAACUCCUCUCUCCUCAAAUAUUUCUUCGACUAAUCAUUUCCCUUUCCUUCUCAGAAUUCCCCUGACUUAUCUUAAAUAUGUAAAAGAAUGUAAAUAGGAUGACACAUCUUUUGAAGAAUGAGGUGUUCUACGUUAAUGGAUUUUCCAGGUGAAAUUGGCACCAUGCCGUGUUUGCGUUAAUAAUGUCAUAGAAAUGGUCAUAAGUUGUAGUAGACAGACAAUCUUUUGAUUCCCUAGGAAUAUUUAUAUGAGGUGGAUAAUUUAAACUUUUCUUGAUUAAUUAUGAACAAUUGCUGCACUAUAUUACAGAACAUAGUGAUUCUCCC